rnacentral:sRNA from 1 species
GAGGUGCGAAAACAGCGUGUUCUUAAUUGCAGAGAAAUUUGAUGGUGAAAUUCGUGCAGGUGCUCCAGCAAGAUCUUUGCAAGAGGCUGGAAUAAAGUACCGUUUACUGGUGACAGCACCCCAGUACAUACAGACACUGGAACGAAUGUGAAAAGGAACAUAAAUAUAAUUUUAAUGGAUGCCAUGGAAAAUAUAUUUUUUGCCGGAUUGUGGAUGGAAGCGUAAAGUACCGCUAACUUGGAGCAGCUUAAAAAAUAUAUUUUAUGAAAAAACAUUACAAUGGGAUUAUACAUAUACACACAGAAAUAUUUAAUGAACCAACGGAAUAACAGUCACUGGACACUCACCUGUUCG